rnacentral:misc_RNA from 1 species
GAUGAAGAACGUAGCGAAAUGCGAUAAGUAAUGUGAAUUGCAGAAUUCAGUGAAUCAUCGAAUCUUUGAACGCACAUUGCGCCCGCCAGUAUUCUGGCGGGCAUGCCUGUCCGAGCGUCAUUUCAACCCUCGCGCCCAUCUGGGCUGCGGUGUUGGGGACCGGCCUGCCCCCCGGGGCGCGCCGCCCCCCAAAUUUAGUGGCGGUCUCGCUGCAGCCUCCCUUGCGUAGUAGCACACCUCGCACCGGAGCGCAGCGCGGCCACGCCGUAAAACCCCCGACCCCCAUGAGUUUGACCUCGGAUCAGGUAGGAAUACCCGCUGAACUUAAGCAUAUCAAUAAGCGGAGGA